ACGGGAGGCAGCAGUGGGGGAUAUUGCACAAUGGAGGAAACUCUGAUGCAGCAACGCCGCGUGAGGGAAGAAGGUUUUCGGAUUGUAAACCUCUGUUAUUAGUGAAGAAACAAAUGACGGUAGCUAAUGAGGAAGCCACGGCUAACUACGUGCCAGCAGCCGCGGUAAUACGUAGGUGGCAAGCGUUGUCCGGAAUUACUGGGUGUAAAGGGUGCGCAGGCGGGACUGUAAGUUGGAUGUGAAAUACCGUGGCUUAACCACGGAGCUGCAUCCAAAACUGCGGUUCUUGAGUGAAGUAGAGGUAGGCGGAAUUCCGAGUGUAGCGGUGAAAUGCGUAGAUAUUCGGAGGAACACCAGUGGCGAAGGCGGCCUACUGGGCUUUUACUGACGCUGAGGCUCGAAAGCGUGGGUAGCAAACAGGAUUAGAUACCCUGGUA
rnacentral:rRNA from 1 species